UAUCAUCUGCCACCGGGUAGAAUUAAAAAAUGCAGAAAAGCAUUUGUCUGUGCGCCGUUAGGUCUUUGAAGGCGUACAAGCAAAUGCUUUUUGUUA
rnacentral:ncRNA from 1 species